rnacentral:rRNA from 1 species
GCAAGUUGAGCGCGCCCUUCGGGGUGAGCGGCGGACGGGUGAGUAACGCGUGGGAAUAUACCCUUCUCUACGGAAUAGCCUCGGGAAACUGAGAGUAAUACCGUAUACGCCCUUCGGGGGAAAGAUUUAUCGGAGAAGGAUCGGCCCGCGUUAGAUUAGAUAGUUGGUGGGGUAACGGCCUACCAAGUCUACGAUCUAUAGCUGGUUUUAGAGGAUGAUC